CAAAGGGAAAGGUGCUGAGCUGGGCUGAGAAGGAGAUUUUGGGCCUUUGCUCGUAGCUGGGAUUUUGGUGUAUAUUUUUCAUCCACGAGAUGGCAACAACCAGCCACCUACAGAGCCCUGAGAGAGCAAUUUGGGCUUCCCUCCUGUCUCGGGCACUUUGUGGGGAGGUUCAGCACGGAGUGAGUGACCUUUGCUGCCUUGGGCUCUGUGGAGAAAUGUCUGAGCCGUGUCUGACGCGCUGCCUUUGUUUGAAGAGACCCUGCCAGGGUGUUGGACGUCUGUCACUGCCCCUGGGGAGGAUCCCAGCAGAACAGGUUCUCUGGGAUUUGCUGGUGAAGAGUCUGAAGUUUAUCUCUGAUGAUCUGAAUGUUCCUUCUGGGAAGGAGGAAGCCAUUGACAUCUGGCCUGAAUCUCCAUGGCUCUGUGGAGACGCUUGGAUCCUGAAUUAAAGAUGUCAGGCUCUUGGAAUUGUGCAAUAGAAUCUGCACUUUGCAGCUGGACUCUGUAAGGGUUUUUUUUUGAAUCCUGGGAAAGAUUUGGAUUGAGUAUUUGGUCUUAGUCUUUAACUGGCAGAGGCUGAGGAUGGUGUUUUAAGGUGCAGCAGUUUGGGGGGUGUUUUAUUUGCUCAAUAAUGGAGCAGAGCAAUGUUCUGGCAAAGUUUUCAUUUGAGAACCUGGGGGUGCUAAAAGCUGGAAUGGUGUUUUGGGGUGGGGAGCAGGGAAAAGCCAGGGAACAGGGGUCCAGAGCACUGUGAGGUGCAGCAAGGAAGCUCUGGCAGUUGGGUGCAGAUCCACAGCCCACCCUCUGCUCGGGCUGCAGGCACAGACGGGGAUUUGUUGGCAUCAGCCAGGUAGUGCUGGGAAGUGUGAGAUCCUGGAACAUAUGGGCUGCAAUAUCACAGCACAGUACCCUGUGAGAGGGAGGCAGCAGCUCAGAAAAUAUCCCUGCUUUUGUCAGUUUAAAUACAUGCUGUUGGAGGCAAAACAUUUGGAUUGGGAAAAAAAAAAUAUAGAAAUGCUCUGCAGUGCGUGUCUUGAAGAGAUUCCCAUCCCCCUCCCAACUCGGGUUGUGUUUCUGUGGCUGCAAUUAAGAACAAAAAAACCCCAAGAGAAACCCAGAAAAGUUUAUUGGUCUAAAGAACAGCUCCAGUGCAAGAAAGUAAAUUAAGGUUUUGGGGAGGAGAAGUCAAUGAGAGCCUUCAUUGCCUGAACAAGUUCCAAGGAAUAAAUGAAGAGUUUGGUUGUGAAGGACCA
rnacentral:lncRNA from 1 species